rnacentral:rRNA from 1 species
UACGUAGGGCGCAAGCGUUGUCCGGAAUUAUUGGGCGUAAAGAGCUCGUAGGCGGCUUGUCACGUCGGUUGUGAAAGCCCGGGGCUUAACCCCGGGUCUGCAGUCGAUACGGGCAGGCUAGAGUUCGGUAGGGGAGAUCGGAAUUCCUGGUGUAGCGGUGAAAUGCGCAGAUAUCAGGAGGAAUACCCAUAGCGAAGGCAGCUCGCUGGGACGGUACUGACGCUAAGGCGCGAAAGCGUGGGGAGCGAACAGG